rnacentral:rRNA from 1 species
GUGCCAGCAGCCGCGGUAAGACAGAGGGGGCAAGCGUUGUCCGGAUUUACUGGGCGUACAGCGCGCGCAGGCGGUGGUGUAGGUACCUGGUGACAGUCUCGGGCUCAACUCGAGGGGGUCUGGGUAGACCGCACCGCUGGAGGCAGGGAGAGGGAUGUGGAAUACCCGGUGGAGCGGUGAAAUGCGUAGAGAUCGGGUGGAACACCAGUGGCGAAGGCGGCAUCCUGGCCCUGACCUGACGCUGAGGCGCGAGAGCGUGGGGAGCAAACGGGAUUAGAAACCCGUGUAGUCC